rnacentral:lncRNA from 1 species
AGACUAGGGGUGGAAACGAGCCGAGCUCGAGCGAGCUUAUGUCAGUUCAAAUUCGGCUUGAAAUUAAUUUCGAGCCUAAAUCUAGGCUCAAGCUUGGCUUGAAAUUAAUUCGAGCCGAGCUCGAGCGAGCCUAAUUUCUAGUCGAGCCGAGCUCGAGCUCUAAACGAGCCGAUUGAAAUUCUCGACAUUAUAUAAUCAAUAGUUUAAUUUUAUAGAACAUUACCUACAAUUUGAUAUAACACGUCCAAUAGUUCAAAAUACAAAAUAAUUAUAAGAAAUGUGAGCUAGGGUGACUUCUUGACUGGAUGAGGGUCUGAGAGAGAGAGAGAGGAAAAAAAAGUAGGGAUUUGAAAAUUUGAAUGUUAUCAUGUUUUAGGGUUAUGUGCAACAAUGAAAGUCUGAAAGAGAGAGUAUGUUAUGUAAAUUUAGAGUUN